AGUCGAGCGGACUUGGAGAAGCUUGCUUCUCUGAUGGUUAGCGGCGGACGGGUGAGUAACACGUAGGCAACCUGCCCUCAAGUUUGGGACAACUACCGGAAACGGUAGCUAAUACCGAAUAGUUGUUUUCUUCUCCUGAAGAGAACUGGAAAGACGGAGCAAUCUGUCACUUGGGGAUGGGCCUGCGGCGCAUUAGCUAGUUGGUGGGGUAACGGCUCACCAAGGCGACGAUGCGUAGCCGACCUGAGAGGGUGAUCGGCCACACUGGGACUGAGACACGGCCCAGACUCCUACGGGAGGCAGCAGUAGGGAAUCUUCCGCAAUGGGCGAAAGCCUGACGGAGCAAUGCCGCGUGAGUGAUGAAGGUUUUCGGAUCGUAAAGCUCUGUUGCCAGGGAAGAACGCUUGGGAGAGUAACUGCUCUCAAGGUGACGGUACCUGAGAAGAAAGCCCCGGCUAACUACGUGCCAGCAGCCGCGGUAAUACGUAGGGGGCAAGCGUUGUCCGGAAUUAUUGGGCGUAAAGCGCGCGCAGGCGGUCAUUUAAGUCUGGUGUUUAAUCCCGGGGCUCAACCCCGGAUCGCACUGGAAACUGGGUGACUUGAGUGCAGAAGAGGAGAGUGGAAUUCCACGUGUAGCGGUGAAAUGC
rnacentral:rRNA from 1 species